rnacentral:rRNA from 1 species
AGAGUUUGAUCCUGGCUCAGAUUGAACGCUGGCGGCAUGCCUUACACAUGCAAGUCGAACGGUAACAGGUCUUCGGACGCUGACGAGUGGCGAACGGGUGAGUAAUACAUCGGAACGUGCCCAGUCGUGGGGGAUAACUACUCGAAAGAGUAGCUAAUACCGCAUACGAUCUGAGGAUGAAAGCGGGGGACCUUCGGGCCUCGCGCGAUUGGAGCGGCCGAUGGCAGAUUAGGUAGUUGGUGGGAUAAAAGCUUACCAAGCCGACGAUCUGUAGCUGGUCUGAGAGGACGACCAGCCACACUGGGACUGAGACACGGCCCAGACUCCUACGGGAGGCAGCAGUGGGGAAUUUUGGACAAUGGGCGAAAGCCUGAUCCAGCAAUGCCGCGUGCAGGAUGAAGGCCUUCGGGUUGUAAACUGCUUUUGUACGGAACGAAAAAGCUUUUCCUAAUACGAGAGGCCCAUGACGGUACCGUAAGAAUAAGCACCGGCUAACUACGUGCCAGCAGCCGCGGUAAUACGUAGGGUGCGAGCGUUAAUCGGAAUUACUGGGCGUAAAGCGUGCGCAGGCGGUUAUGUAAGACAGAUGUGAAAUCCCCGGGCUCAACCUGGGAACUGCAUUUGUGACUGCAUGGCUAGAGUACGGUAGAGGGGGAUGGAAUUCCGCGUGUAGCAGUGAAAUGCGUAGAUAUGCGGAGGAACACCGAUGGCGAAGGCAAUGCCCUGGACCUGUACUGACGCUCAUGCACGAAAGCGUGGGGAGCA